GAUGAACGCUGGCGGCGUGCCUAAUACAUUCAAGUCGAGCGAACAGACGAGGAGCUUGCUCCUUUGACGUUAGCGGCGGACGGGUGAGUAACACGUGGGUAACCUACCUAUAAGACUGGGAUAACUUCGGGAAACCGGAGCUAAUACCGGAUAAUAUUUCGAACCGCAUGGUUCGAUAGUGAAAGAUGGCUUUGCUAUCACUUAUAGAUGGACCUGCGGCGUAUUAGCUAGUUGGUAAGGUAACGGCUUACUAAGGCAACGAUACGUAGCCGACCUGAGAGGGUGAUAGGCCACACUGGAACUGAGACACGGUCCAGACUCCUACGGGAGGCAGCAGUAGGGAAUCUUCCGCAAUGGGCGAAAGCGUGACGGAGCAACGCCGCGUGAGUGAUGAAGGUCUUCGGAUCGUAAAACUCUGUUAUUAGGGAAGAACAAACGUGUAAGUAACUGUGCACGUCUUGACGGUACCUAAUCAGAAAGCAACGGCUAACUACGUG
rnacentral:rRNA from 1 species